CUGCGGCAGCGACACUGUGUGUUGUUGGGUAGGGGAGCGUUCUGUAAGCCUGCGAAGGUGGCCUGUGAGGGUUGCUGGAGGUAUCAGAAGUGCGAAUGCUGACAUAAGUAACGAUAAAGCGGGUGAAAAGCCCGCUCGCCGGAAGACCAAGGGUUCCUGUCCAACGUUAAUCGGGGCAGGGUGAGUCGACCCCUAAGGCGAGGCCGAAAGGCGUAGUCGAUGGGAAACGGGUUAAUAUUCCCGUACUUGGUGUUACUGCGAAGGGGGGACGGAGAAGGCUAUGUUGGCCGGGCGACGGUUGUCCCGGUUUAAGCGUGUAGGUGUGUGUUCCAGGUAAAUCCGGUUCACUUUAACACUGAGGCGUGACGACGAGGCACUACGGUGCUGAAGCAACAAAUGCCCUGCUUCCAGGAAAAGCCUCUAAGCAUCAGGUAACAUCAAAUCGUACCCCAAACCGACACAGGUGGUCAGGUAGAGAAUACCAAGGCGCUUGAGAGAACUCGGGUGAAGGAACUAGGCAAAAUGGUGCCGUAACUUCGGGAGAAGGCACGCUGACACGUAGGUGAAGUGAUUUACUCAUGGAGCUGAAGUCAGUCGAAGAUACCAGCUGGCUGCAACUGUUUAUUAAAAACACAGCACUGUGCAAACACGAAAGUGGACGUAUACGGUGUGACGCCUGCCCGGUGCCGGAAGGUUAAUUGAUGGGGUCAGCGCAAGCGAAGCUCCUGAUCGAAGCCCCGGUAAACGGCGGCCGUAACUAUAACGGUCCUAAGGUAGCGAAAUUCCUUGUCGGGUAAGUUCCGACCUGCACGAAUGGCGUAAUGAUGGCCAGGCUGUCUCCACCCGAGACUCAGUGAAAUUGAACUCGCUGUGAAGAUGCAGUGUACCCGCGGCAAGACGGAAAGACCCCGUGAACCUUUACUAUAGCUUGACACUGAACAUUGAGCCUUGAUGUGUAGGAUAGGUGGGAGGCUUUGAAGUGUGGACGCCAGUCUGCAUGGAGCCGACCUUGAAAUACCACCCUUUAAUGUUUGAUGUUCUAACGUGGACCCGUUACCCGGGUUGCGGACAGUGUCUGGUGGGUAGUUUGACUGGGGCGGUCUCCUCCUAAAGAGUAACGGAGGAGCACGAAGGUUGGCUAAUCCUGGUCGGACAUCAGGAGGUUAGUGCAAUGGCAUAAGCCAGCUUGACUGCGAGCGUGACGGCGCGAGCAGGUGCGAAAGCAGGUCAUAGUGAUCCGGUGGUUCUGAAUGGAAGGGCCAUCGCUCAACGGAUAAAAGGUACUCCGGGGAUAACAGGCUGAUACCGCCCAAGAGUUCAUAUCGACGGCGGUGUUUGGCACCUCGAUGUCGGCUCAUCACAUCCUGGGGCUGAAGUAGGUCCCAAGGGUAUGGCUGUUCGCCAUUUAAAGUGGUACGCGAGCUGGGUUUAGAACGUCGUGAGACAGUUCGGUCCCUAUCUGCCGUGGGCGCUGGAGAACUGAGGGGGGCUGCUCCUAGUACGAGAGGACCGGAGUGGACGCAUCACUGGUGUUCGGGUUGUCAUGCCAAUGGCACUGCCCGGUAGCUAAAUGCGGAAGAGAUAAGUGCUGAAAGCAUCUAAGCACGAAACUUGCCCCGAG
rnacentral:rRNA from 4 species